AGCCUGAUGCAGCCAUGCCGCGUGUGUGAAGAAGGCCUUCGGGUUGUAAAGUCAGCAGUGAGGAAGGCGUGGUGGUUAAUACCCACCCGUUUGACGUUAGCUGCAGAAGAAGCACCGGCUAACUCCGUGCCAGCAGCCGCGGUAAUACGGAGGGUGCGAGCGUUAAUCGGAAUUACUGGGCGUAAAGCGCAUGCAGGCGGUUUGUUAAGCAAGAUGUGAAAGCCCCGGGCUCAACCUGGGAACCGCAUUUUGAACUGGCAGGCUAGAGUCUUGUAGAGGGGGGUAGAAUUUCAGGUGUAGCGGUGAAAUGCGUAGAGAUCUGAAGGAAUACCGGUGGCGAAGGCGGCCCCCUGGACAAAGACUGACGCUCAGAUGCGAAAGCGUGGGGAGCAAACAGGAUUAGAUACCCUGGUAGUCCACGCUGUAAACGAUGUCUACGUUGCGGUCUUGAACUGUGGCUUUCGGAGCUAACGCGUUAAGUAGACCGCCUGGG
rnacentral:rRNA from 1 species